AUAAAAAAAAAAUUUGUACAAAAAUUAAAAUUAAAAAUUUUUCUCAAUUUUAAGAUUACUGUUAAGUUAAUUUUCUAUUUUAUCCAAUUUUACGCGUAAAUUUAAAGUUAGGGUUAGGGAACGUAGAUAUUUAUCAUUUUCAUUAUCGAACGCUAAGGAACAGAGCGGCAAUAAACAUGAAAAGCGCGUGAAUUUUUCAUGAAUACGACUAUAAUUGCGGCGUGUCAAUAGAUGAAAGACUUGUAGAUUGUUGUACAAAUAUAAGGGGAAGGAUGACACUCUAUUUCCUGUUAUGAUGUUCAUUUAGAUGUAUAUAAAAAAAUAUACGAAUGAAACUAACGAUAGAACAUAUAGAAAGGAAAAGGAAGAGACUAAAAAAAAGUGGAGACGGAAGAAAAUGAAAUAAAAUAUAGAUUUUUUUUUAUUAUUUAUUUAAUUAUUUUUUACUUAUUGUUUAUAGGGGAGACGACCUUGCAGACGUUCUUAGCUGCGAGGGGCUUGGAGAUCCUAUGAUUUUCUAUACCAACGCCAUCUGGAUUUUAAAUGGUGCUAUGAUGACUAUAUUCUUUCUUUUUGCCUCAUAUUUAUCCGAGGGGAGUUCCUUAGGUGGUGUUGUUGCGACAACAGCAUUUUUCUUUAAUCAUGGAGAAUGUACUAGAGUAAUGAACACACCUCCGUUACGGGAGAGUUUCGCAUAUCCAUUCUGUAUUUGCCAUAUGUUUGUUGUCACAAUGGUCUUAAAGAGGAAAAAUCCAAGCUAUUGGCUAUCAGCAAUACUGGCGAUAACUACUGUUUCAUUUAUGUUGCCAUGGCAAUUCGCUCAAUUCGCACUUUUAACUCAGCUAUUGGCUGUAUUUGGUGUUCAUGCAAUCCAAUAUACUAAUAGGAAUAAUACUGUGAAAUAUUUGGCAGGAAUAUGGGCAGGGUUUAUUAUUUCCUUUGCUUUCCUUCUUGGAAAUAAGAUGUUAAUAACUUCAUAUUUCUUCUCCGCAUUAAUAAGUGUUUCAAUAUUGAUUUAUUUGGAGAAAAUAUCACCAAAAUUCCUAUGGUUUCCCAUAGCUGUUCUUAUUAAAACUCUAUUUGUUUUACUGGCAUCAAUCUGUUUCAAAAUGGUCCUAUCACGUUUGUUAAACAUUCAAGACGACGCUCACAUUUCAGAUAUACUUAGGAGUAAAUUUACGGAUUAUAGGGACUUUCAUACUAUGCUUUAUACAUGCGCAGCUGAGUUCGAUUUUCUCCCUAUGAAAACUGUAACAGAUUUAUGUAAAACGCUACUUGUACCAACUGCAGCAAUUUGCUGUAUUGUAGUAUUGAUUUACCAUCUUAAAGAUGAAUAUACCAAGUGGAGAAUGAACGACAAUAAUGCAGAAAGAACUGGAGGGGAAGUCAUAUACAAUAUACUGCAACUAUGUGCCUAUACUUUAAUGGCAGCAAUUAUAAUGCGGUUGAAACUUUUCUUUACUCCUCAUCUAUGCCUAAUAUCGGGUCUAAUUGCUUCCCCAAAAUAUUUUUCAUUCAUAAAGAAGAAGAGCCUUUAUUACGGAUUGAUAUUUGUCGUCUUAGCUCUUAUGGCUUACGAGGGGAAAAAGAAUUUAGAAGUAGAAUUAUCAAGAACAGGAGAAUAUUCUGAUCUUCAAACUGAAGGUUUAUUCGAUUGGAUAGAAAAGAAAACUAAAAAAUCAGCCGUCUUUGCGGGACCAAUGCCGACAAUGGCUAAUAUUAAACUAUCAACCGGAAGGCCGGUGGUUAAUCAUCCGCAUUACGAAGACUCAGCAUUAAGAGAACGAAAUAAAAAGGUUUAUUCUAUUUUCUCAAGGAGGGCCACUAAAACAGUAUAUGCAACCCUACGAGAAAUGUACGUUCAAUAUGUUGUAAUUGCUCAUCACUGGUGCUUCGGAUCAUCGAAAUCCGGAUGCUCUAUGUACGAAAGCUGGGAUUUAGAGGAACCAAACUUUAAAAAUCAACCAAUUGUAUGCAAGAGUUUAAUACAAAAUGGUAAAUCGGAAUAUUUCGAAAAGGUUUUCGAUAAUCAACAAUAUUCUGUUUUCAAAUUAAAAAAUCCAAGACUAUUUAAAAAAUGACCUACUACUUAAGUGUUUUACAAUUAUUUCGUUAUGAUUUAACUGUUGAACCUUUUUGUUCUUUCAUUUUUUUCCUAUUUUUCUUUUAAAUA
rnacentral:misc_RNA from 1 species